rnacentral:lncRNA from 1 species
CCAUAAAAAAUGUGAGAAAACAAAAUAUAGUCGAUGGUUCGAAAGAAGCACUCACCGAAGGAAGAACACUCAGUUGAAAAAAAAAAGAGAAUAUCAAAGAAAAACUGAGCAAUUGAAAAGGAAAAGAAUAAAACACAGUGAAAAGAAUAUGAACAUUGGCUCUGAACCCAAAACCACUUGUUUUCCUUUUUGUUUGUAUUUACCACACCAUAACCCAAG